GUUUCUCUUCACCGUGAUGAUGGUCAUGCAGAUAACAUGGUGAUUCUUCCUUGCCUCAAGUCAAUGACAUGGGUGAUGGAGAAUAAAACUUCAGCACCUGCGAAUAGAGUUGCUGUCAUCAACCUGAAGCUGCAAGAUUACACUAGGACUCCUUCACGAGAAUCAGAAGUUAAGUUUCAGCUGUCCCAGGUCACACUAGAGCCUAUGAUGAAGUCUAUGGCUUAUAUCAGCGAGCAACUUUCUGCCCCAGCUAAUAGGGUUGCUGUCAUCAAUCUGAAGCUUCAAGAUACUGAAACAACUUCAGGAGAGUCAGAGGUGAAAUUUCAGGUUUCUAGAGAUACUUUAGGUGCCAUGUUGAGGUCAAUGGCAUAUAUCCG
rnacentral:misc_RNA from 1 species